GGUAUGAUAUCAGCACUCACUCCCACAUUCUGCUCAUUCAGAAAGGAGAAUAAGAGUUGAGCAGUUGUUGAGGGAACAGCAGCUGUUUUUGUAUAGAGCACACAAUGUGUCACUUAUUUUUACUUUUUAUUUUUACUUCAUUGUUCUUGUAGUUCUGAUGGGUCACUUGAUUUGAAAUAGAAUCUCAGGAGUUUAGAUAGAAAAAUGACCUGCUAUUAGGGAAAGGAUUCAAACAGUAGAUUUGAAUUUAUAAUACUUUGGUUUUGGUUUUUUUGUUGUUGUUGUUGUUGGGUUUUUUGUUUUGUUAAAUCUCGUAAUUUUAUAGUAGUUGUAGAACCAUUGUUUGUUUGUUUUAUACUUAGCCAUUUUUAUUGAAAUCCCUAGAGACUCCCCCCCCCCCCAAAUGCUCUUUUUUUUAAAUGGCUUUCCCAGCUGGAUAUAAUCGAAACCAUGUGUUGCAAAUGUUUGGUUUUGUUCAAUUUUUUAAAGGCAUUUCUUUAUAUUUUCUAGAUGUGGCAUAUUGUUGUGUGCUUAUAAUCCCAAUACUCUGGAGGCUUGUAGGAUCUUAAAUUUGAGUCCAGCCAGUCUCCUCUCACUGAACACACAGACAUUUAAUCUUUUUAAUUAUUGGUAGAAAUAAAGGGUACUGUGUCUUUUUAAAUUACAAAUAAUGAAUGUUUAACAAAUGUAUGUGAUACUUUGGUCCUUUUGGGGUGUGUAGGUCAAAUAAAGCCAUGCCUGAUGGCACAGAUGUGUAACCCCAGCUUAAGAGAGUGUUUCAAGAGCAUCCUGAGUACAGGCUUGAGUGAGCCACAGAGAGAAGUUGAUAACCAUUUAGUGAAUUGGAAGCAAUUCAGUGAGAUCCUGUUUCAAAAGGAUGCUGCCUGUGUGUGGAACUGGGAACAUGGCUCAUUGUUUAAAACAACUUAAAAAUGCAAGAAUACAUAUUCAUAUUCUGAUCUGUAGCAUCCAUCUUGUGGCUGCCUGUGGAUAGCUAGCCAACUGGAUUAACCACAAUCAACAGGAUCCCUAUUCAGUGAGAGUCCAUGCCUCAACAAAUCUAGAACUGUGGCUCUUGACACAAACACAUGCACAUGAAGGGUAAAAGAGAGCCAUUGAGUAAAAGUAAAAGUAUUUGCUUUAUUAUAACUCUGAUAAACCUGUGUUUGAUCCAGUAUGGAUGUCAACUCUUAACUUCCUAUACACACACACAAAUUGGCGAGUGUGUGAGGUGGGGGGGUUGAAUCUCAAUGUUGAGUUUGCCUAGUAUAUACAAGACUUUUCACAGCAUUGGGGUGGGAAUGAAACCUGUAGUCUGUAUGAUAUCCGCUAUGAUUACUCAACUCUGUUUUUCCCCUUACUGCUAAGGAAGUCAUAGGCUUUGACAGAAGACUGUGAUGUGACUGUUUCAAAAAGCUUUACCUAUGAAAAGCAGUUGGUAUUUAUUUUUGACUGGUAGGCCAAUUUGCUAGUUUGGGUUAUUUUGGGAACUCUUUUUAAAUCGUGAAUUUGUUUCUCAUUCCAGAUCCUGGCAUUUGUUAUUUGUAUUGGAAGUUUUCUCCUGUGAUUUUUGAGGGUUUUGUUUCUAGGGUUGAUGAGAUGAUGAUGAUGAUGAUGAUGACGACGACAACGAUGUCAUCAUCGUCACCUGGCCUAGAGACCCAAGCUAGCCUAGAACUCAGAAAUCUACCUGCUUUUCUCCUCCUGAGUGCUAGGAUUAAAGGCAUAUACUACCACACCUAGCUUAAUUGAGUUUUAAUGGGAAAUAGUUUGAGAUUCAUCAAGUAUAUUAAAGUUCUCUAAUACUUUGUGUGGUAAUGUGAUAAGUUCGGGUUUCUGUUAGAUUUUGGGAAUUUGACAAAUUUGCAGAUAGUAGCACUUAGUGGACUGUUGACAUUGCCAGGGAGAUUACUUUCCACGUAUUAUAUUUGCAUGUUGCCAUAAUUUUUAGGUCAUAACCGUUGGUUUUGUACCUACCUGGGUCUUAAAAUAAUACAGCUUUGUCAGGCAUGGUUGAUGCAUGCUGUAAAGACGGCUCUGGAGAAGUGAGAAGCAGAAACAGGGGCAUCUUGAUUUCGAGGCCACCAGAGCUCGUUCCCAGACCCUCUCAAAAUAGAGAAGGUGAAAAACAAAACAUUGUUCCAUCCAUCCAUCCAUCCAUCCAUCCAUCCAUUCAUCCAUCCAUCCUACCUAAUCAAUCUAUCUAUCUAUCUAUCUAUCUAUCUAUCUAUCUAUCUAUCUAUCUAUCUAUAUUUUGAGGUGCUUCAGUGUUGUGUAUGAUAUUUGGGCAUGUUAUUAAAUAGUCAUGUGGUUUAGAGUUGAUGUUUAAGAGACUAUAGACCAACCUACCUACCUUUCUUCUUUCUCUUUCUUACCCCCUUCCCUCUUUUCCUUCCUUCCUUUUUUUCUUUCUUUUUUCUAAGACAGGGUUUCUCUGUGCCAUGGCUGUCCUGG
rnacentral:lncRNA from 1 species